GGGGAUUUAGCUAGGCGGCAUAAGCGCCUGCCUUGCAAGCAGGCAGUCGUGAGCUUGAUCCCCG
rnacentral:tRNA from 1 species